GACGAACGCUGGCGGCGUGCUUAACACAUGCAAGUCGAACGCUGAAGCACCAGCUUGCUGGUGUGGAUGAGUGGCGAACGGGUGAGUAACACGUGAGUAACCUGCCCCUGACUUCAGGAUAAGCCCGGGAAACUGGGUCUAAUACCGGAUACGACCCCUGACCGCAUGGUCGGGGGUGGAAAGUCUUUUCGGUUGGGGAUGGGCUCGCGGCCUAUCAGCUUGUUGGUGGGGUGAUGGCCUACCAAGGCGACGACGGGUAGCCGGCCUGAGAGGGCGACCGGCCACACUGGGACUGAGACACGGCCCAGACUCCUACGGGAGGCAGCAGUGGGGAAUAUUGCACAAUGGGGGAAACCCUGAUGCAGCGACGCCGCGUGGGGGAUGACGGCCUUCGGGUUGUAAACCUCUUUCAGUAGGGAAGAAGCCUCUUGGGGGUGACGGUACCUGCAGAAGAAGUACCGGCUAACUAC
rnacentral:rRNA from 1 species